GAGUCUGAGUGAACUCCGGGAGAUGGUGAUGGACAGGGAGGCCUGGCGUGCUGCGGUUCAUGGGGCUGCAAAGAGUCAGACACGACUGAGUGACUGAACUGAACUGAACCUCAGUAAGUAAUAUUUAAAGAACAGUUAAUCUUGGGUUUCCUGAGAUAAACAUCUUCUAAGAAUCAGAUACCUGAAAUGAAGAGAUACUUACCACAUUUGUUUGCUCCCAGGACAAGGUUUGCCAUGGCAAGCUCUGUGCGUCUGCAGUGAGGGCAGGUAAGCCUGAGAUAAAGGUUUAGACCCCCUGUGAUGUGAUCUGGCAAAGUGAUCACCUGCAAGUGCACCAACAGUUGUCUGUGUAGGGCAUGGAGACAAACUGUGAAAAAUGGGGCUGUGUAACUACCAAGAGCUAUGGAAAAUGCUUCGUGUGAUAGAUAUCUGUCAGGAGUGGAAGAAAUUGAUGGUGGGAAACUGGUUUUUGAAAUAAUCAAAAUCCCACGGGAAUGUAUGGGGGAAAAAACCCUGAGUUCUAAUCAGUGAGGGAAGGAAAAUGCCUACUGGGGAUUUUUUAAUUGAUUUAAAGGCUUUUUGCAAAACAUGAUUUCUUCCCAUAACUCAGCACUGAGGGCAGGGAAACUGAAGGAAAAAGCAGAGUGAGGAGAGUUAGAAAGCAUAUCCACAGUUGUACAAAUGAAUAAGUAUGUAUUUUCAAUUUGUUCUAUAUUUCAAGACAUUAAUAUAUAUCCUAGGAGUUUCAGACAUGUUUCUAGAAAUAUGGAAUAUGUCAAUGCACAACAUUUAAAUACAUAUUUCCCUGCUGGAAUUUAGUAUUUGAUAGAAAAAUACAAUAAGCAGUUCUAUUUAAGUUGCAUAGUGUCAUAGAAGGUGAUAGUUCCUAAGGAAGUAAAGACAGCAAAUGGGUGAUAAAAAACAAAUAAUAAUAAGGAGUUUAUGAUGAGUCCAGUCAUUAAAUUGAGUGUCCAUAUUUGGACUACUAGUGAAGAUGAAAACUAAGGACAUACUAUAGAUGGUUUAUUUCCUCAUUUCCAAUUGCUUCAUAUUUAUUAUUUUGCCUUAUAAUGAAAUUGGAACUCUAGGAUAAUGCUGAAUUGAGAACAAUGAGCAGCUAUCCUUCUUUUAUGCCAAUAGGAAUAUUUUAAUAAUGGCUCAAAAAUACAGUAUUUAUAAUAAUUUUUGUAGGUGUUCUUUAUAAAAUGAUUAAGAAGGAUUGCUUCUAUCUGCAGUUUGAUAUCUCUCGGUGUACUAGCACUGAACAAUUCACAAAGAAAAAAAAAUUUAAUUCUCAUUCACAGCAUUAUCAGAUUUAGAAAACACAUAUGCAAGACCAAUAGAAAGAAAUCUAAAAACACUGUUAACAAAAAUUAAGAUCUAAAUAGAAGGAGAUGUAUCAUGUUUAUGGAUUGAGACAGACACUCAGUAUUUCUUCCUAAAUUGAAAAUUAAGGAAAUGUCCUGAUGGUCCACUGGCUAGAACUCUUGUGUUUUCACUGCCAUUGCCUCGGUUGAGGGACUCUAGAUCCUGUAAGCCACACAGCAUGGCCAAAACUCAAAAAUAAAAACAAAUCAAUGCAAUCCCAAACUCCUAGUAGGAUUUUUGUACUGUAUAAACUAGAAGGUGGAUUCUAAACUUCAUAUGAAAAGCAAAGAUCCAAGAAUGGCUAUGAAGAAUUUGAAG